UUGAUUGGUGCUUGCAUCAUGAUUUACAUUUGAGUGAGUGGCGAACUGGUGAGUAACACGUGGGAAACCUGCCCAGAAGCGGGGGAUAACACCUGGAAACAGAUGCUAAUACCGCAUAACAACUUGGACCGCAUGGUCCGAGUUUGAAAGAUGGCUUCGGCUAUCACUUUUGGAUGGUCCCGCGGCGUAUUAGCUAGAUGGUGGGGUAACGGCUCACCAUGGCAAUGAUACGUAGCCGACCUGAGAGGGUAAUCGGCCACAUUGGGACUGAGACACGGCCCAAACUCCUACGGGAGGCAGCAGUAGGGAAUCUUCCACAAUGGACGAAAGUCUGAUGGAGCAACGCCGCGUGAGUGAAGAAGGGUUUCGGCUCGUAAAACUCUGUUGUUAAAGAAGAACAUAUCUGAGAGUAACUGUUCAGGUAUUGACGGUAUUUAACCAGAAAGCCACGGCUAACUACGUGCCAGCAGCCGCGGUAAUACGUAGGUGGCAAGCGUUGUCCGGAUUUAUUGGGCGUAAAGCGAGCGCAGGCGGUUUUUUAAGUCUGAUGUGAAAGCCUUCGGCUCAACCGAAGAAGUGCAUCGGAAACUGGGAAACUUGAGUGCAGAAGAGGACAGUGGAACUCCAUGUGUAGCGGUGAAAUGCGUAGAUAUAUGGAAGAACACCAGUGGCGAAGGCGGCUGUCUGGUCUGUAACUGACGCUGAGGCUCGAAAGUAUGGGUAGCAAACAGGAUUAGAUACCCUGGUAGUCCAUACCGUAAACGAUGAAUGCUAAGUGUUGGAGGGUUUCCGCCCUUCAGUGCUGCAGCUAACGCAUUAAGCAUUCCGCCUGGGGAGUACGGCCGCAAGGCUGAAACUCAAAGGAAUUGACGGGGGCCCGCACAAGCGGUGGAGCAUGUGGUUUAAUUCGAAGCUACGCGAAGAACCUUACCAGGUCUUGACAUACUAUGCAAAUCUAAGAGAUUAGACGUUCCCUUCGGGGACAUGGAUACAGGUGGUGCAUGGUUGUCGUCAGCCUGUGUCGUGAGAUGUUGGGUUAAGUCCCGCAACGAGCGCAACCCUUAUUAUCAGUUGCCAGCAUUAAGUUGGGCACUCUGGUGAGACUGCCGGUGACAAACCGGAGGAAGGUGGGGAUGACGUCAAAUCAUCAUGCCCCUUAUGACCUGGGCUACACACGUGCUACAAUGGAUGGUACAACGAGUUGCGAACUCGCGAGAGUAAGCUAAUCUCUUAAAGCCAUUCUCAGUUCGGAUUGUAGGCUGCAACUCGCCUACAUGAAGUCGGAAUCGCUAGUAAUCGCGGAUCAGCAUGCCGCGGUGAAUACGUUCCCGGGCCUUGUACACACCGCCCGUCACACCAUGAGAGUUUGUAACACCCAAAGU
rnacentral:rRNA from 2 species